CCGCGGCGGAGGCGCGGGCGGCGGCGGGCGCUCUCAACGCCCCGGUCGUGCACCUCGGCCAGCGGUACGUCUCCGCGGCCGUGAUC
rnacentral:tRNA from 1 species